UACGUAGGGGGCAAGCGUUGUCCGGAAUCAUUGGGCGUAAAGAGCGUGUAGGCGGCCCGGUAAGUCCGCUGUAAAAGUCAAAGGCUUAACCUUUGAAUGUCAGUGGAUACUGCCGGGCUAGAGUCCGGAAGAGGCGAGUGGAGCUCCUGGUGUAGCGGUGGAAUGCGCAGAUAUCAGGAAGAACACCAACGGCGAAGGCAGCUCGCUAGGACGGUACUGACGCUGAGACGCGAAAGCGUGGGGAGCGAACAGG
rnacentral:rRNA from 1 species